GAUUGGUCCAGUAACGGCGAGUGAAGCGCCAAUAGCCCAUAUUGUGAAUCGGCACUUGUGUCGAAUUGUGGUCUGCAGGUCUGCUCAAUCAGCGCUUGGACGAAGUCCCCUGGAACGGGGCAGCAUAGAGGGUGAGACUCCCGUACGUCCUUAUGCAUGAGAGCUGUUCCUCCGAGUCGAGUUGUUUGGGAUUGCAGCUCUAAUAGGUGGUAAAUUCCAUCUAAGGCUAAAUACUGGUGGGAGACCGAUAGCGUACAAGUACCGUGAGGGAAAGAUGCAAAGCCGCGCGAGAGCGCUGUCAAAGAGUACCUGAACUUGCUGAAAAGGAAGCGAAGGAAACCAGUGUAUGUCAACCCGCAUUUUCUCACCCGCUUGCGGCUGAGGCGCUGCGGCUGGCAUAGUCCCCCUUUGUGUUUGGUGGCGGAAGAUCCAUGGCGCCGCUGGAUACUGAGGGGGACGAAAUGGUUUUCUUUUUCCCGUCUUGAAACACGGACCAAGGAGUCUAACAUUUGUGCGAGUACAGGGGUGCCAAACCCCGGUGCGUAAUGAAAGUGACAGUGGCUGGAUAUUUGCACAGUCCGCCGGCCCCAAUCCCUCGGGAGAAUGGUCUGAGUGUGAGCACGUAUGUUGGGACCCGAAAGAUGUUGAACUAUGCCUGAAUAGGGCGAAGCCUGGGGAAACUCUGGUGGAGGCUCGUAGCGAUUCUGACGUGCAAAUCGAUCGUCAAAUUUGGGUAUA
rnacentral:rRNA from 1 species